rnacentral:tRNA from 1 species
GGUCUGUGGCUCAGUGGUAGAGUGCUUGCCUAGCAUGUGUGAGGCACUGGGUUUGAUUCUCAGCACCA